rnacentral:rRNA from 1 species
CCUACGGGGUGCAGCAGUGAGGAAUAUUGGUCAAUGGCCGGAAGGCUGAACCAGCCAUGCCGCGUGAAGGUCAGUGCCCUAUGGGCGUUAAACUUCUUUUGUGCGGGAGCAAUAAUGGUCACGUGUGGCCAGACGAGAGUACCGUACGAAUAAGCAUCGGCUAACUCCGUGCCAGCAGCCGCGGUAAUACGGGGGAUGCAAGCGUUAUCCGGAUUUAUUGGGUUUAAAGGGUGCGUAGGCUGUGAGGUAAGUCAGCGGUGAAAUGCCCCCGCUCAACGGGGUGAAGUGCCAUUGAUACUGCCUGGCUGGAAUGCGGAUGCCGUGGGAGGAAUGUGUGGUGUAGCGGUGAAAUGCAUAGAUAUCACACAGAACACCGAUUGCGAAGGCAUCUCACGAAGCCGCGAUUGACGCUGAUGCACGAAAGCGUGGGUAUCAAACAGGAUUAGAUACCCGGGUAGUC